rnacentral:lncRNA from 1 species
UUUUUUCUUCUUCUUCUUCCCCCUUUUUUUUCCUCUUCUUCUUUCUUUCUUUCUCUGUUCAUCCACAUAGCUGCCUUCUCUGGUUCCUUAAGAACGAAGGCAGAGAGGCUUAAACGGUGGGAUUUGUAUUUUUAUGUAUUUUACAGUUUAGUCCUUGUAUUAUUAUAUUUACGAUUAGGUCCUUAGGGUUUACAUAUAGGUCCUCAAAACUUUUUUUUUUUUUUUUGAACAAAUCCCCUAAAUCUUAUGAAUAAGUUCUCAGAUUCAUACUUUGGCUCUUUUAUCAAAUUUAAAAUAGAUACUUACAUUAUAACUAGAAACUUAUACGAAAAUUUCGAUAAUGAGG